ensembl:snoRNA
GGCUUCCUGGUGCUUAUCACAGGCUGUGUGCUUACACUGACUAUACAGAAAAAGAAGUGGGCCUGCCUUCUCUGUUCUUACACUGACUGUACAGAAAGAGGAGACCCACCUUAUAUACACCUCUGCCCAGGCCCUAUGCCUGGUCUGAAUUGUGAAUGAGGGGACACAG